AUGAACGCUGGCGGCGUGGAUAAGGCAUGCAAGUCAAGGGGGUCCGCAAGGACUACCGGCAAACGGGUUAGUAACACGUAGAUACAUACCCUAAAGUGAGGCAUAGCUUCGAGAAAUCGGAGGUAAUUCCUCAUAGUCCCGUAAGGGUAAAGAUGUAAAUCGCUUUAGGAUUGGUCUGCGGAUUAUCAGCUUGUUGGUGGGGUAAUGGCCUACCAAGGCUAUGACGAUUAGGCGAAGUGAGAGCUUGUUCGCCAACACGGGCACUGCGAGACGGGCCGUACUCCUACGGGAGGCUGCAGUCGAGAAUAUUUGACAAUGGACGAAAUGAUGAUCAUGCGACGCCGCGUGCAGGAGGAAGGUCUUCGGAUCGUAAACUGCUUUUAUUGGGGAGGAACUUUGGUGACGGUACCCAAUGAAUAAGGGAGUGCUAACUCUGU
rnacentral:rRNA from 1 species